rnacentral:rRNA from 1 species
ACGUAGGGCGCAAGCGUUGUCCGGAAUUAUUGGGCGUAAAGAGCUCGUAGGCGGUUUGUCGCGUCUGCUGUGAAAGUCCGAGGCUCAACCUCGGAUCUGCAGUGGGUACGGGCAGACUAGAGUGUGGUAGGGGAGACUGGAAUUCCUGGUGUAGCGGUGGAAUGCGCAGAUAUCAGGAGGAACACCAAUGGCGAAGGCAGGUCUCUGGGCCAUAACUGACGCUGAGGAGCGAAAGCGUGGGGAGCGAACAGGAUUAGAUACCCUGGUAGUCCACGCCGUAAACGGUGGGCACUAGAUGUGGGGCUCUUUCCAUGAGUUCCGCGUCGCAGCUAACGCAUUAAGUGCCCCGCCUGGGGAGUACGGCCGCAAGGCUA